rnacentral:rRNA from 1 species
AGGUGUGAUUAUACGAGCACUAAUGCGUCGAAUCCCAUCAGAAUUCCGAAGUUAAGCGUGCUUGGGUGAGAGUAAUAUUAAGAUGGGCUUUAUCGUAGAAUUUUUACAGGCACAGGUA